rnacentral:lncRNA from 1 species
GAGAUGCUGUGUAAUCACUGAGAAAGUAAGGAAGACACUCGCAUUUCCUAAAAAUGCUGAAUUACCUCGGUGCCGAUCAGUGGAAAACCAAAGAGGAUGAGAAGGAUGACAAGCCAUCUGAGCUCUAGAAGAGGGGGAUAUUGCCUUGCUGAAAACUUACAGUCAGAGUACUUACUCGUGGAAGAUUAAGCAGGUUGAGGAUGACAUUCAACAACUUCUUAAGAAAAUUAAUGAGCUCACUGGUAUUAAAGAAUCUGACACUGGCCUGGCCCCACCAGCACCUUGGGACUUGGCUGCAGAUAAGCAAACUCUCCAGAGUGAACAGCCUUUACAGGUUGCAAGGUGUACAAAGAUAAUUAAUGCUGAUUCAGAGGACCCAAAAUACAUUAUCAAUGUGAAGCAGUUUGCCAAGUUCAUGGUAGACCUCAGCGAUCAGGUGGCACCUACUGACAUUAAAGA